CUUGGAUCUUCAACCUAGAAGCACCAAAGAAGCAAAGUUCUAAACUGCCAAUUCCAGGAAAAGAAGGUUUUGCCCUCUGGAGCCAAGCAGAAGGAGGUUGAGGCUGACCCCUGGUCCAUAUGCCAUCAUCAUCAAAGUCUGAACUGAACUCUUCAGAUGCUUCUGGGGACAAUCCCUAAGUGAUUCUCUGGUAAAGUGAAGUCCAGUUCAGCACCAGGAAGGAGAUU
rnacentral:lncRNA from 1 species